AAUGGGCGCAAGCCUGACCCAGCAACGCCGCGUGAGGGAAGAAGGUCUUCGGAUUGUAAACCUCUGUCCUUAGCGAAAAGCAGCAGAUGGUAGCUAAGGAGGAAGCUCCGGCUAACUACGUGCCAGCAGCCGCGGUAAUACGUAGGGAGCGAGCGUUGUCCGGAAUGAUUGGGCGUAAAGGGCGCGUAGGCGGCCGUUUAAGUCUGGAGUGAAAUUCCCGUUUUUAAGGUGGGAACUGCUUUGGAAACUGGACGGCUUGAGUGCAGGAGAGGUUAUCGGAAUUCCCGGUGUAGCGGUGAAAUGCGUAGAGAUCGGGAGGAACACCAGUGGCGAAGGCGGGUAACUGGACUGCAACUGACGCUGAGGCGCGAAAGUGUGGGGAGCAAA
rnacentral:rRNA from 1 species